CAAUGUUAGCGGAUCGGAAGCCAGCAGCCAAGAGGUCGAAGUGCCUGUGUCUCAGCCCUUGGCUUUCCGCAUCUGAGGUCCCAGAUGUUUGUUUUCUACAUCCUAUUGGACAAGCGUUGUGACCAAUGCUUUGCCAAAGCAUCCAUCCACCAGCAAUCCUCACUGUGAGCACCCUGCUCAGGCCAACAUCACACCCUGCUCAGGCCAACAUCACACGCUGGACCAGUGAACAGGCUGCGAGAAGUUUCUCAAACAGCAGCAAAAUGACUCACUGAAAUUAAUGCAGGAAAUAAAUACUUUGAAUAUUUUGUCCCUGUUCCCUCCCAACAGUCUUUUGCAUACAAAUCAAAAGGAAAAAUCACAGAGAAAACUAUAAUUUUGAGAGGCUGAUGGCUGGUUAUACUUACCCUCAAGAAGCAAAGAGAAAGUUAUUGAAUUUAAUAGAGGUUAAAUUCAUGAAGGUUUUGGAAUCCAAAUAUGUGUUGGAGGACACAUUCUCAAUUCCAGAAUUCAAGGAAACUAUUAUCAGUUGGAAAGGCCCGUACAGCCUGUGUUGUGCAGGAUGCUCUCGUGCCCCUGCUGUAGAGCAUGUUCAGCAACUGGUGUAGUGGUCGUCUGGGAGUAAUUUGUGCCAUGGUGCAGCAAGUACCUGAAUCCAAGAACCAUGGAGUAAAUGACGCACCAACCAGGUUGUAAUGAACAAUUGAAGAGCGGUAGUUGUUUAGCUGUGUUUUUCUCUCUCAGAUACUACAGUACACAUGUAUGGACUUUUUGAAUGUACUCAAGAGAAUGGUAUUACCGUAGCAAUUGUUAGUUGUAUUGUUAAAAUUAAUAGUGGAAAUGUAUUUAUUUAGUAGUGCAGUAGAGAGAACUUGCAGAAGCAUUCCAGGAAUCUUCACUGCAGCUGGAUCAUCAGGGAGGUGGCACAGAAGGAUCCGGACCACCAAAAACCUACUCUGAGAAGAGAGGAUAAAGGCAAUACUACUUUCAUCUGGUGGUGUAUUGGAGUUGGCAAAAUAUCGCCCUGUUAUAUCGGCCAGGGAUGCAACUUCUGGCUAGUGCUGGUAUAAGACCCACCAUAAACCUUACAAAAUAAACAACAGCAGGAAAAGAAGAAAAAUACAUGCCAUAUCGAGACCCUGGUAAACGCAAAUGGCAGGUAAAUGAAAAAAAUUGAUUUGAGUCAGAAUUAUGACUCCAAAGAAUAGAAGACAGAGAAUUUCCCCUGGCAACCACUGAUUAACAACAGUGCCUUAUAACACAUGUAACUAGAAAUCAAGAAUAAUUAAGAGCUUAUUUUGAAUGAAUUGUCUAACAAUGAAUAGUAAACACAUAAUGAAAGGAAAAUAUAAUUUACUGUUGGAAAUCUGAAACAGAAAGAAAGAAGAAUACAGUGACCCAUAUUACAAGCAGUGAGUGCACAGAAUUAGUUCAGAACUUAACAAAACUGUUUCGGCUGGAUUACAAAUACAGCAGACGUCGCUCCGGCUGGAGUUAUCAACGUAGAGCGACGUGCAGUUGCGUGAGUAUGGGGAGGUGUUGUCCAACAGCAGCAGCGCACACCACGAGAGCAGAUAUCGGCUUCAGCUUCAGCCCUGGCUUCGACUGUUCUACAACCAGCACACAGUUCACAGUUCCGCAGAAAGUGUAUCGACAAAUGCCAGCAUGCAGACGCAGAUUGCAGGAGCAAAAAAGGUGGUGAGAGGAUGUCAACCAAUAGCCCACUGACAAGGACCACACCGUCACAGGAGCGCCCUCUAGCUGAAGAGAAUAUAAGCACUGCUCCUGCCAGCCUCAGCCAAACAGUAUUAGACGCAGCCUAGCAGAGAGCAAUAUGAUAGCAGUGACGUGUGAUCCAUACCAGUUGCUUAGAUGGAUCUCGUAUACAGCAAAGGACUCUUGAUUGUUUGCAACACCAUUAUAAAUUCAAAGUUAAGUAUCUGCAAUUUGCAUUACUGAAAUAAAACUAUUAAUGUUAUUUGCUCAAAUUGUUGUACAGCAUUCCGAGAAUGCAGCAUCCUUUAGGCAACCUAUGAGCGAUGAGGAGACAGGACCCAAACAUACUGAGCUCCAGAAAUGGAUCUUUCUGGUACAGGAGAGAGAAACAUUUCUUAUUAUGCUGACUAAUCCCUGCUGCAUAACAAAUAUCUCCCUGUGCAAAACACCUCAGAAUGCAAUGCAAUGUGAGUACUUAGUGUACAAGGGAAAUCUAUGUGGAGUUUAGUGUUUCAAUGUCACAGACUUUACUCAGGACUCGGUCUUUUACAAACUUUUUUUGAUGUUUGUCCCACCACAGAGAGUCAUCUAUACAAAAUCCCAAGGAUUCCAUGAUUUCUUCUUGGUUUAUACACACAUUUUCAAAUAUGACAUCAUCUAUCCUUGAUGAAACUGUUGGUGAUUGGUGAAAAUUUAUAUACACAGCUUUGUCCUUAUUCAGCAAGUUUGUUUGUUUAACCAAUUUACCUACUUGGUGUUUGUAUCAGAGAGCAUGUCAUGGAAUUUAUUAGCACAGUGAUUUGAGUAUAAAUGCAUUGGUAUAAUCAGCAAACAUUACUGUUAGACCUUUCUGAGAGACACUGCUAACUAUAAUAACCAGAAGCAGAACCUUGAGGAAUGCCCUGUUUUACUACUUGCUCCAAUGGCUGUAUGCUUCCAACAUAUUUUGAAGUGAUUAAAACUCAUUGUAAUCUGUCUGAGAGAUAUGAUCUAAUCCAGUCAUUGGAUUUUCUCCUAAUUCCAUACUGUAGCAGUUUCUUUAUAAGAGAUUCACAGUUGAUAAGAUUGAAGGCCUUUGUGAAGUCAAGGAAUACUUCUGUUGUAUGCUUCUCAUCAUUGUGCGCACUAUAAAUGUCAUUUAGAAAUCAAUAUAAGGCCCUGUUUAUUGAUCUCCCUUUUCUAAAGCUGAACUGAUGAGUGUUCAAGAAAUAGUUGUUUCCAGAGACUUGAUAACACGAUCAUACAC